GUCAACGACCAUACCAUGUUGAACACACCGGUUCUCGUCCGAUCACCGAAGUUAAGCAACAUCGGGCAUAUGGCUAGUACUUAGGUGGGUGACCACUUGGGAAAACCAUGUGUCGUUGGCA
rnacentral:rRNA from 1 species